rnacentral:rRNA from 1 species
CCCUAUGGGGUGCAGCAGGCGCGAAACCUUUACAAUGCACGCAAGUGUGAUAGGGGAACCCUAAGUGUUUAGCUUUGCUAGGCUUUUUUCAAGGGCAAACACCUUGGAGAAUAAGUGGUGGGUAAGACUGGUGCCAGCCGCCGCGGUAACACCAGCGCCACAAGUGGCAACCGCUAUUAUUGGGCCUAAAGCGUCCGUAGCCGGACUGAUAAAUUUCUUGUGAAAUUGCAGAGCUAAACUCAGCAACGUGCAGGAAAGACUGUCAGUCUUGAGACUGGAAGGAGCUGGAGGUAUUCUUGGGGAAGCGGUAAAAUGCUAUAAUCCUAAGAGGACCACCUAUGGCGAAGGCAUCCAGCUAGUACAGCUCUGACGGUGAGGGACGAAAGCCAGGGGAGCGAACCGGAUUAGAUACCCGAGUAGUCCUGGCCGUAAACUCUGUGAGCUAGGUGUUGCACAUUCUCCAUGAAUGUGCAGUGUCGUAACGAAGGUGUUAAGCUCACCGCCUGGGAAGUAUGGUCGCAAGGCUGAAACUUAAAGGAAUUGGCGGGGGAGCACUACAAGGGGUGCGGCGUGCGGUUUAAUCUAAUUCAACACAGAAAAUCUCACCAGCAGCGACGGCAAGAUGAAAGUCAGGCUGAAGACCUUACUUGAUGAGCCGAGAGGAAGUGCAUGGCC